rnacentral:tRNA from 1 species
GGGGGCUAUAGUAUUAUCGCUGCUAACGAUGGUUUGAAUUCCGUGUGGUGUUCGGUCUCCU